GACGAACGCUGGCGGCGUGCUUAACACAUGCAAGUCGAACGGAAAGGCCCUGCUUUUGUGGGGUGCUCGAGUGGCGAACGGGUGAGUAACACGUGAGUAACCUGCCCUUGACUUUGGGAUAACUUCAGGAAACUGGGGCUAAUACCGGAUAGGAGCUCCUGCUGCAUGGUGGGGGUUGGAAAGUUUCGGCGGUUGGGGAUGGACUCGCGGCUUAUCAGCUUGUUGGUGGGGUAGUGGCUUACCAAGGCUUUGACGGGUAGCCGGCCUGAGAGGGUGACCGGCCACAUUGGGACUGAGAUACGGCCCAGACUCCUACGGGAGGCAGGAGUGGGGAAUAUUGCACAAUGGGCGGAAGCCUGAGGCAGCAACGCCGCGUGCGGGAGGACGGCCUUCGGGUUGUAAACCGAUUUCGCCUGUGACGAAGCGUGAGUGACGGUAAUGGGGAAAGAAGCACCGGCUAACUACGU
rnacentral:rRNA from 1 species